CCAGCUCCAAUAGCGUAUAUUAAAGUUGUUGCAGUUAAAAAGCUCGUAGUUGGAUUUCUGGGAGAGAGCCAAUGUCCGCUGUUGCGUGUGCAGCGGCUCUCUUCCAUCCUUCUGUUAACGUUUCUUGGUAUUCAGUUACUGGUUUCGGGCUCAGAUAUUUUACCUUGAGAAAAUUAGAGUGUUUCAGGCAGGCUUGCGCCGGAAUACAUUAGCAUGGAAUAAUAGAAUAGGACUUGGGUCUCCUUUGUUGGUUUGAGGGACUUAAGUAAUGAUUAAUAGGGAUAGUUGGGGGCAUUAGUAUUUAAUUGUCAGAGGUGAAAUUCUCGGAUUUGUUAAAGACUAACUUAUGCGAAAGCAUUUGCCAAGGAUGUUUUCA
rnacentral:rRNA from 1 species